UUGUUGACUUGUUUCUAAUUUUUCACUCAUAAUAGGAAUACAUUUCUAAUUUUUCUAACGGGUAACUGUAAGACUACCAACCCCAAAUAUCAAAUAAAACACACAAAACUGGCAAACAGGCGGUACUCUGGAGUUCUUUAUUUAUAUAUAAAUGCCAAAAUGUUCACAAACUACGAAAUCAAGAUAACAAGGAGUAAAAGAAAAAAUAAAGAAACAUACCAGCCUCCUUUUACAUCAAUGGAGACCCCUAUCGGCUACAGUAGCCUACUCCCAUAUAGAUGAUAAAAGAACCUAGCUACCCUCUCCCUAUCAUUCACUAUUUAAAGCCUUUCCUAAAAUUCUUCCCUGUGGGCCCUACUCUGUACAAAAUUUUACUCCCAUCAUCCCUCCUCAUUAACAAUAAGUGCAUUUCCUUUUUUACCCUUUCUCACAUACGUAUGAAUGAUUGGGGGCCUUACAGCAACGCCCAAUUUUAUUUAAAGUGUUCUUCAGUUUGUUUUUGGAGAACGAAAACACAUUUAGCUUCUCAAACAUACAGGGGAAAUAAAUUUUACCUCAUAUCAUAACCUUUCAUCGACUUGUUUCUGAAUUUUUCAAAAUAAUGCUGCGUAUAUGUUAGACCUCCAAUAUUAUUUACCUAUAGUAGGAGAAAGAAGGAGGAGAAGUCAACAGUUUCUUACAGUUAAUUCCAGUUAAUGUAUCUUUACCGUUUCUGUAUCUUUAAUGCUAUCUUUGCGGUUGUUUAUUCUUACAGUUUUUAGAAAGGAUAGGGUAGUUUUAAGGGGUUAGGAGGAGUCUGUAAUGGGGAGGAGUUAUUUUGGUGUGUAGGCUGUGCAUCCUUGAGAGGAGGAGUACGAGUGGUUUGUUCUAGCUUUCUUACUGUUUUUCCUGUGUGUAAUUUCCAGAUUGAUAAACUAUCAAUCUUACUUUCAAUCUGUAACUUCUUUUACCAAAUUAAAUAAAGAACAACUAUACUAGUGUUCUAUCAAAUUGGUAUCAGAGCCUUUUCACCUGGGAAGCAGAAAGACGUUGGCACAGUAACGAAUGGAAGAGAAGUUGGAAGUCUUUGACCAAGAAAUUUUCGGACUGUGAGUGGAACUUCAUAAGUUACUGAUGAUUGAGGAAAAGCUAGUGUCCUUGGCUAAGAGUAUCGAACGACUGGGAAUUUAGGUAGAAACAUGUACAAAAUCAAUUGUAGGGGAAGGAUUGUUGAAUAGAACGCUGGUGAUUGAUGGUACUAUUGCCGGAGGGGGCACGCCGAUGACGGAAACUGUGAAUGCAGAUAAUGCAAAUACAUCCGAAGGUAAUGAGAACUCCAGCGAUCAUAACAAAUUUAAGAAAUUCGAAAUGCCAAUAUUAAGUGGAACCAAUCCGGAUUUGUGGCUAUUCAAAGCUGACCAGUACUUUCAGAUUCACAAGCUGACUGACUUGGAGAAAUUGACUGUCGUGGUGAUUAGUUUCAACGGGGCUGCAUUGGAUUGGUAUCGUUCUCAAGAAGAGCAUGAGUCGUUUGUGAAUUGGGCGAAUUUGAAGAAUAGGAUGUUAAUUCGUUUCUAACUAGUAGUUGAAUUAUCCAUCAAUUCGGUGGUUGGUUUAACUAACGCAAGCACCAUGAACAUGAAGGGAAAGAUUAAUGAUCAAGUAAUGGUAGUUUUGGUUGAUUGUGGUGCAACCCACAAUUUUUAUAUGAAAAAUUGGUUUCGUUAUUGUAGUUAAUGAAGGAGGAGACAUCUAAUUGUGGUGUGAUUUUGGGAUCCGGCACAACUGUGAAAGGGAGGGGAAUCUGUAAAAAUGUUGAAUUGGUGAUUGGAGAGUGAAAGGUGGUUGCAACUUCCUACCCUUGGAGUUAGGCGGGUGGACUUGAUUCUCUGAAUGCAAUGGUUACAAUCAUUGGGAGUUACUGAAAAAGAUUGGUGAAAUGUGAAACCGCAAAAUUUCUUAAACCUUUGGAAUUUGUUAAGAUUAGUCAAGGACAAGAGAAAUUAAAAUUUAUAGGAAAAGGGAGUAAAAAUACUUGAAAAGAUUAAGAUUUUAAGGUAUAGGUUUAAGUAAAAGAGAAAAGUUGAAAAUUUUGGCUAAGUGUUUUUGGGCAUUUAGAGGUUAGGUUAGGCGGCAAAGGAAGGCCAAAUAACCUCUAAAUGGUUUUUGAUGGGCGGCAAAAGAAGGUAGAAAACCUCUAAGCAUAGGCAUUUGGACAAGCUUAGGCGUUUAGACAUGGACUGGGCAGCCAAAAAUAUGGUAAAUAACCUCUAAAGGUGAUGCUUAGGCGUUUGGAUGGCUAGGCGAGAAGACAUUGGAGGUUAGCUAGGCGUUUGAGACUUGUUGGGCAGCAAGACAACACAAAGAAAGCUAUCUGUUGUUAGGUUAGCUAGGCAGCCAAGGCUAUGCAUUGAGAGGUUAGGCGGCCAAGGUAAGGCUACGUGAGAUGGUUAUAGUCAUGGAGGUUAGCUUGGUGUUUUGGACAAUAACGUGGCAUGAUUAAGGCAUUCAGUUUAAGGAAUAAUCCAAGUAUCUUAAUCAUGUUAACAUGCAUUUUGAGGUGGAGAUGAAGUUUGAGGUGUCUUAAAGAAGUUUAAGGGUAGAUGAAGUGUCAAGUCAUUCUCAUGCAAGGAUUCCUAUAAAUAGGCAACUUCACUUAAGAGUUCUUCACUAUUCACUUCGCUCGUGCAAAAUUACUCAAAUUGGUCUUGAAAGUUCAGAAAUUGUGUCUAGUUUAUGAGAGAAGGCUGCCAUUCAAUUUGAAAUCAAGAAGGUUGAUGUUUUGGUUAAGCAAAGACGAGAAGGUCAAUUUCAGGAGAAUCUGAGCAAGGUGCAUUCACAGAGGGCUAUAAAACUUGUUUCUUGGAGUUUUGCUCUGAAAUUUUGAGGUAAGAAAGUUAAGUCAUUUUAGAACAACUUUGUAGAAGGAAGUUUUGUCAAAAGAGUUAUGGAUUGUAAGUUAUUAAUUUUCAAAGUCGGGUCAUGUAUUUUGGACGAAAAAUGUUGUUCUGGGCAGUGGGUCAAUGUCAUGCAUGCUAGGCGAGAUGGACUUGGCAUUUUGGUCAUAGAGGUUAUUUUGAGGUUUGCAACAAGGUCAUGGCACAACAGAGCAGUAAGACAUGCGUUCAGGUUAUGCGCAUGACUUGUGAAAAGAGGUUAGGAGGCGGCAAGCUGCACAUCACCACGCAGACAAGGACACGCGGUGGGCGAUGAUGUGCGGCCUUGCGCUCGCGUUGACCCUCAUUGCGAGGUUAGUAUGCGGCAUACACCCCUCAUUGUAAGGUUAGCACGCAAGGCCCCUAGGCCAUGCGCUCGGCCAGCCCCAUCCACUAUGUCGUUGGGCAUUGUUGGGCUGUUUUCGGGCUAUUUUGGGCUGUCAUGGUAUUUUUGACAAAUUUAAGGGAAAUUUUGGAUAUUUUCAUGAUUAAAGGACUAAUUAUGGAAUAAAUAUGAAUUUUCAGAUCAAGGAAGCUUUAGAGGAAUUUUCCCGACCAAGGAUCUGUACAAGAAUUGCAAGGAGACCUAUUGCAUAUUUUAGCCAUACACUAUCCUUAAAAGAGAUCGAGCAAAACCAGUUUACGAGAGGGAACUAAUGACUGUUUGUUGGCUGUACAAAGAUGGAGACCAUACCUACUUGGAAGAAAGUUUGUGGUGAAAACUGAUUAAUGUUCUUUGAAGUUUCUGUUAGAGCAAUGUGUGACAUAACCUCAACAUCAAAAGUGGAUAGCUAAGCUGCUUGGCUACACUUUCAAAGUAAUUUAUAAACCGGGAUUGGAGGGCAUUCUGAGUUUGUGAUGACUUACAAAUGUUUGAAGGGUGAAUUAUAUUGGGAUGGUAUCAAAAGGGAUGUUAAAGAAUAUUGUGAUGAGCGUUUGAUUUGUCAACGGAACAAAACCUUGGCUUUGUCUCCAACCGGGUUAUUAAUGCCACUGGAAAUUCCAGAGGUUGUGUGGAGUGAUAUAUCUAUGGAUUUUAUUGAAGGAUUAUCCAAAACGGCAGGAUUCGAGGUAAUUUUCGUCGCGGUGGAUCAAUUGAGUAAAUAUGCACAUUUUAUAGCAUUAAAUCACCCAUACACUGCUAAAUUGUGUUGUGGUUAGAUUACAUGGAUAUCCUAAGUACAUUGUGUUAGAUAGGUACAAGGUUUUCCUUAUUAAUUUUUGGAGAUAGAUGUUCAGAUUAUCUGGUACCAAACUCAAUAGAAGCUCGGCAUACCAUCCUCAAUCUGAUUGACAAACAAAAGCUGUUAAUCGGAGUGUAGAGGUUUAUCUAGUUGUUUAUGGGGUGAGAAGCCUAAGGAGUGGAUUAAUUGGCUAUACUGGACUGAGUAUUGGUAUAAUACCACGUAUCAGAGGGCGAUCGGAAUUACACCAUUUCAGGCUGUUUAUGGCCGUGCACCACCGCCCUUGAUCUCUUAUGGGGAGGCUGAAACAUCUAAUUCCACCCUUGACCAGCAUCUUAGGGAAAGAGGUGUAGCAUUAGCAGCAUUGAAGGAACAUCUCAAAUUGGCCUAGGAGAAAAUGAAGAAGGCUGCUGAUUCAAAACGAGGAGAUGUAGAGUUCCAAGUUGGUGAUUUAGUACUUUUGAAGCUUCGUCCAUAUUGAGAAGUGUCUUUGAGAAAGAAGAGAAAUGAGAAGUUGUCUCCGUAGUAGUUUGGGCCAUAUAUGUUGAUUGCACAGAUUGGGCAAAUAGCUUAUAAGCUGGAACUUCCACCAGCAGCUGCCAUACACCCUGUAUUUCAUGUCUCUCAAUUAAAGAAGGUGGUUGGAGAACAUAAGGAAGUGCACCAGUUGAUUCCUUAUAUUUUGGAAGGCCAUGAAUGGGUUACUACACCAGAAGAAGUGCUGGAUUAUCAAAAAAAUCCUACAACAGGUGUGUGGGAAGUCCUGAUCAGUUGGAAGGGUCUGUUGCCUCACAAAGCAAUGUGGGAGAACUGUGAUGAUUUUCAGAAGCAAUUUCCGACGGACAAGGUGGUUUUGGAGGGGGGAAGUAAUGUUAGACCUCCGAUAUUAUUUACUUAUAGUAGGAGAAAGAAGAAGGAGAAGUCAACAGUGUAUCUUUGAUGCUAUCUUUACAGUUGUUUAGUCUUACAGUUUUUAGGAAGGAUAGGGUAGUUUUAAAGGGUUAGGUGGAGUUAUUUUGGUCUGUAGGCUGUGGAUCCUUGAGAGGAGGAGUAAAGAGUGGUUUGUUCUAGCUUUCUUACUGUAUUUUGUGUGUGUAAUUUCCAGAUUGAUAAACUAUCAAUCUUACUUUCAAUCUGUAACUUCUUUUACCAAAUUGAAUAAAGAACAACUAUACUAGUGUUCUAUCAGUA